rnacentral:lncRNA from 1 species
UGAUUUUUCACAGGCUCGUCAGUGACUCUGUGUGGGUCAAAGAAGAUUAAGGGCCUCUGGAAAUUCAAAGGCUGAUUACAUCAAAUCCUAUCCCAGGAGCCAAGAAGGGAGUGUGCACCACAGCUCAAUAUUCUAUGCACAAGCCAGGAGCUUUUAGAUAAGCAUUUUGGGGGAGCUAACAGAAGGUGAGGGGUUUCCGUAAAGCCAUGACUUUAAAACAAAUCCUCCGAAGUACAGAGAGCUGAGCUCUGCUCACCACCUCCAAACCCAGCAGUUCCCUCCCUGAGGCUGUGGCCUGGCCCCAGUCUCAGCUCGGACACCCCAGCCACUGAUGGAAUCCAAUUCCUUCCGGCAGCCUCUGAGGGCCAGAAGAACUCAGAAAGGACAGCCUGGGAGGCUGAUCAUCUCCUGACUUGUCUUCAUUCCUGGUGCCUCCUCCAAGCUCUGCUAAAGAGAGAAUGACAGCUCAGCAGAGAGAGAGGAGCACUCUGCGAGGAUGGAAUCGAGAAGGCUGCCCCUGCAGCCCAACCCUGCUCAAGGCCUUCAGAAGGUCCCCUGGAGCUUGAAGUACCUGCAAAGAGCAGGAUCCUAGGAGCCAAAGGAGGUCUCAAGAGCGUGGACUGUUUUUCUCCGCUGCAGAGUCAUAGUCAUUGUGUUCCUAUUGUGUGUCAGACACACACUCAUUUAACCUCGCCACAGUCCAGCAAGCUCAGCAACGUCAUCCUGAAGCUAUCCCAGCACACUCGAACCAAAAAGAAGUUCCCCUCCCAUGCGCCACUACAUGGUAUAUUCAGGUGUGAUGCCUCUGGAAAUACCAGAAGACUUUUCCAGGAAUCUCCAAGCAUAGAGAAUGUUGAAGGAAUCAGCUCCCCACUCAUGGAUUUCUGAAUACCCUUUCCUCAACUUGUACCCAAGAACACUCCACGGUAUAGGCUGGCACGAUGACCUGGUGGCUGUCGUCUCCCACCUCCCCUUUCACAGCCAUCCCUUCCCCACCCUAUAAAAGAAAGACAUGCCCCUAACUCACCUCGAAUGUUGUGGCUUUGCCUCUGCAGCAUACAACAAGAAACUACAUGUGUCCAGAGGCCUCAUCGACUCAUGACACUAUAAAGCACCUAAUCCAGCUAAGACUUCACUUCCAAUGACAUUUAUGUUUUAUAUUUAGUUAACAGGUAUAAAAAUUUGCAAUAUGUAUAUUUUGCUCUGAUAAGUUGCAUAUUAAAAAUAAUUGUAAUAGCAAUCCAAUGCAGAAAACAAUGUUAACACUUAAUAGCCUUAAUAGAUAAGGGAAUUUAAAAAUUUAAAUUUCAAAUUAUAUGCAUAUUUUUGAUGCAGGAAUCCUCAAAGUAUGAUAGGGUGAAUAACAAAAAGAUUUUUAAGUGUAAAAAUAUGUUAAUUUAAAAUUCUGAAGGGGAAGAACAGUA